AGGAGGUUAUCAAUUCGGUUGUAUGUUUUUUUUUUUUUUAUGUUUGUUACUCCAUAUCUCCGUCAUUACUGGACCGAUUUUGAAAAUUAUUUUUUUGAUUGUAUGCCUUUAUACACCGUGUUUUUUUUGAUUUCCGUUAAUUUCGAGGGUGCAUUCCUGAGCUUAAAUUAAGUAACUUUAUCAAAGACACCGAUGUUCUAAUUAACUCCAUUUCGGAGAUAAUCAAUAAUUUAUUUUUUUCCUAUAAGGUCUCUACAAGCGUGUACACUUGCCUUAGGGCUGGUUUACAUAUUGGUUAGUGUUAAGAAUGAGUUCAUACAUUUGCUACUAAACUUAAGUACAAUCUCGGUCGAUCGAUGUUCGAAAUGACAUUGAUAUGUCACAGAUUUCAAUUGUUUGGUUGAGUUAAAUGUAAUGCCCGUGUUACAACAACGCUAUAGGCUACAUUUAAUUACUUUUUA